rnacentral:rRNA from 1 species
GACGAACGCUGGCGGCGUGCUUAACACAUGCAAGUCGAACGGAAAGGCCCUGCUUUUGUGGGGUGCUCGAGUGGCGAACGGGUGAGUAACACGUGAGUAACCUGCACUUGACUUUGGGAUAACUUCAGGAAACUGGGGCUAAUACCGGAUAGGAGCUCCUGCUGCAUGGUGUGGGUUGGAAAGUUUCGGCGGUUGGGGCUGGACUCGCGGCUUAUCAGCUUGUUGGUGGGGUAGUGGCUUACCAAGGCUUUGACGGGUAGCCGGCCUGAGAGGGUGACCGGCCCCAUGGGGCCUGAGGUACGGACCAGACUCCUACGGGAGGCAGCGGUGGGGAAUAUUGCACAAUGGGCGGAAGCCUGAUGCAGCAACGCCGCGUGCGGGAUGACGGCCUUCGGGUUGUAAACCGCUUUCGCCUGUGACGAGGCGUGAGUGACGGUAAUGGGUAAGGAAGCACCGGCUAACUACGUG